rnacentral:rRNA from 1 species
UACGGAGGAUUCAAGCGUUAUCCGGAUUUAUUGGGUUUAAAGGGUGCGUAGGCGGUCGGAUAAGUUAGAGGUGAAAUCCCGGGGCUCAACUUCGGAAUUGCCUCUGAUACUGUUCGGCUAGAGAGUAGUUGCGGUAGGCGGAAUGUAUGGUGUAGCGGUGAAAUGCUUAGAGAUCAUACAGAACACCGAUUGCGAAGGCAGCUUACCAAGCUACUUCUGACGUUGAGGCACGAAAGCGUGGGGAGCAAACAGGA